UCUGUUUUGGGCAAAGGAGGUUGAGAUGUGCCCUCCUAUCCCUAUUGCCUCGCGCCUUAGGUUCUGAUUUAGCCAGAUGCAUGCUAUGCCACGCUCCGUAUUUAUAUCCGGGAUGCUCGUGUUUCGUAUGUAGGACGAAGGCAGAGACGCGUGGUGCAUCUCAUUGGGUCAGAAUUCGAGAGUAGCGCUAGAGUACAUAUAGAGGUUGGGGCAUUUUUCUCAACAAGGUUUGCAGUCUGAUAUUAUGAUUAUUAUUAUGAUUAUUAUAGAUAUCAUCAUCAUUAUUUAUUAAUAUGAUUUCACCCAUAAAGUUCAGUAUUUUCCUUGUUUUUUAAAUCUGUGAAUUCAGGUUGACAUGAAUGUAAAGACUAUUUUUGAUUUGAUUUGUUUAAUUUAAGUGGAUUUAAUAGUAUGUCACGUAGUGUAAUAUACAGUAUGUCUUAUUUAAGUCCAGUAAAAACUGCACCGUAGGGACCACUACAGUGAUGACGAAGAGUAAGGGUUAGCUUUGAUAUCCAGCAAAGAGCAGGACAGUAAAUAUUCACAUUAAAACACACACACACAAACCCUCUGAUGCCAUUUCAGUGCUAAAAAUGGAUUAUAACAUAUUUACAUGGCAGAUUACGGUGAAAUCAAGCAGACUAGUCUCUAUAUACAUACAUAGCUGCACAAUGAAUAUGCCACUUGCACAACAGGCCCAAGAGCAGCGUUCACGUUCUUGCAGGAACGAAGUUCUCUAAUAACGUCAACCCCCAAAGCUGUUUCAGUGCCAGCCGAGAGACCAGGAACAAGAGCACUUAGAACCUAGAGGUGACGACCCCGCCAGGAUACGUCCAUACUACUGAAAAAUACAAACACUGAAGAUGAGAAAGUUGAUAGUUGAAACAAUCUCGCUAGGGUCCAAGCAGAUUGCCAGGCCCCGUCUCAUUGCAAGCAGAUCUAUUUUAAGGUCAUUCAUAUUUCGAAGUUGUUUUCCCUAAUACUUGCUCUUAUCAAGCAGUGUUCUUCUGUCCACGAUGAACAGGGGGAAUGUAAGGUGCUACGGUCUGUUGGGCGUAAACUACAAGUCUAAUGGUUGUGGGUUAUUCUGAUUUUGGCAAACUGUAGGGACCUCCCACUACACACUCCCUGCAAUGGAUACUACCCACUAACCUAUAAGCUGCUAAAGAUGUUUUGGUUUGUUUUAUCUUGUUUUUGUUUGUUGUUGUUGCAAUCGGAGUACACUGAAGUCCAUCUUAAUGCACUGUGAAGUGUGGGUAUCUUUUUGUCUGCCCAUGAGGUCAGGGCUGUGUGCUGUAGGAGCUUGGUCACAGGCAUAUGCGUUAUUAUUAUGUCAGGGAAAUGUACACAUGAAAAUACCAGGCAACUAGUCAUAUCUCACGAACAAAACUCUAUUUGCAUACAAUAUCAGUUCUCAGUUAGACGUGCAAGACGAGGAAAGAGUAUUCAUGUUUCUAAACACUACGUUGAAACCGUGAUCCAGGAUUGAGGCUUUGACUCGUGAUUCUGGAUGCGCUUUGACUCAGUUUGGCAAUGAAAGUAAUGUGGUUGUAGAAACAGUCUCUAUUUGGAGGAUGGGAUGGGCGGGAGGGGGGAGUGGAAGAGUUUCAUCCCAGUUUUGACCGGGUUGCUCUUGUUUUUAAGAUACUCUAAUCGUCCAACUUCAUAUUUGCUGUUUUCUCAAACAGUUGAAAUUGAUAUAUUCUGUUAGCCAACUGAAAAUGGAGGGCUAACCUAAAAUGUGAUUACUUUUAAAAUGCCAAAGGGGGGGGGCACAUUUUGCUUGACACUAAACAAUCUAACUUGGUCUGGUAAGGGAACCUAUCUCCCCAAUUGGACAUUUAGACACUGUAAUGUAAAGGAAAUCUAUCCAAUGGGGGGCUCUCUCACCAUUAUUCAACAUUGGAAUGUUUUCUCUAUUGUCUAUUGGAGCGACAGUGAGCGCGUAUCUCGACAGAUUGGUAAGGAGGCUUCUUUAUUCCCAUCUAAUACCAUCCACUUUCCUCACCCUCCAACCCUUGUACCUCCGUGCACCCCAUUCUUACACAUCAACCCAAAGCCCCCCUCUCACAUCUCUCCAUGGGUGAUAAUGUCUGGUGUUACGAUGCAUGUCUGCUUGCCCUUCCAGACCACAACUACUCCAAAACAAUGACUGUCUGAGUCUCUUAAUGCUUUGAGGGUUGAGAGGACAGAGUUCCCUUGGUUGUAGAGCUGAGCAUUAGAGUCUAGUUAGUGACCAUUUUGCCAGCAGCAAUGAGAACAAAUUAGUAGGUGGCAGAGGAAGUAAGAAAGAGAACCUGCAACCAGGCAUCUAAGAGAGAGAGCUGACUUCAUUCUGUCAAUCACCUGGCCAGUGGCUUGAAACCAUAUUUUAUUCUGUAUCUUAGUGAUAGGAGUGAAAGCAUUAUGCUACAUUUGGUACACAUGCCCAGAUACAUACAGUACAUUCAUAAACACAUUUACAUAGAUUGCGAGUAGAAUAAGGGAAAUACUGCACGUUGAAGUCAAUAAGAAAUGAUAGAGAUUACUGGAUAUAAGCGAUACUACAACUGUGACAAAUCAAUGUGAAUGAUAUCAAAGCGCUGUAGUUGGAGAUCACUAGAAGGUGCCAACAAAGUUUGUCAAAGGACGGCUUUGUUAUCUUUUUAUCUAAUUCAACAAAAUUACCCCAUGAUGAUGGGGUUUUAGGGUGUCCAUUUUUGGUUGGUUUGUAAUUUAGGGGAUCUAGAUAAAAUGUGAUGAGUACUGGAAGCAAUAUACGUAGUAGCAUGUUGUCCUUGUAUUGUCUUUUUGUUCUGUCCGUUGUAAAAGCUUUGGAUUUACCUAGAUGUUGAAUAGAUUUACAUAAUGACAAUUUUUUUUUAAUUUGUGAAAUUGCUGCUAUUUAAUAAGUGAUGUACUAAAAAUAAAGUUAAAACAUAUCUGAUUGGUCGUUUAGCAGGGUGUUCUAGUUCCAAGAGGUGUACUAAAUGCUAUACAUGCUGGUAAGAUAAUAAUUACUGUUAAAACAAACUCAACAAAUAAACCUGUGCCAAAAUAGAUCUUUAAAGACUGAAACUGAAAAUAUGCGUGAUUUAAAGAACAUUACAUGAAAGGAAACGUACUUUUAUAGGGAAAAAAAUGUGAAAAGUGCCAAACGGACCAUAUUUAUAAUUGUAAAUAGAAGGAAAUGGUACAAAUGACUUUUUUGUUGUUGAGUAAAAUCGAUGAAAAAAAAAAAGUUUUAGUUAAACUUUUAAUUCCCCUUUACUUACUAUAAGACAUGAAAUAAGGGAUUGUGAAGGAAGGGAGCCAUCUUGUUAGCUAGUAAUCCAGAAUUCCUUGAAUAUUACCGUACUUAGACUCCGGGGACAGAAGAACCAACGUAUAGAUAGAUUAGCAUGGUUAAUGAUACACAUGAUAUUAACAUUCUUAAUACCGCCUUUUAUAGUUCUGAAAAUGUAUUUUGUGGAGAUAGAUGUUAUCUUUUUUGCACGUCUAUAUUGCAUGAUAUCAAAGUGAAGCGUGGACAACAAAAAAAUGUUAGAAAAAAAUAUCGUACAAAAUUUUUGGCCCGGUGUGUAUUCUUCAUUUUGAAGACAAAUCGUUGCAUGCCAACAAUGGAAAAGCCUUUUCAUUUUCCUUGACACAAUUUCAAACGUGUGUUGUUUUCACUAAGAACAUGUAGGGACAUAGUCCAUUAGAGCAAGGCCACAGUGUAAUUAGAUUGUAUGACUGGAUGAGUAUUUUGUGAGAACUUUGUCUAGGCAUUAAAACAUUCUUAGAGAGAUAGGAACAAACUUUUAAUCAAACAUGAAGCAAUUCGUUUUUUGCUGGUUGUGCUUAUUUUACUAAAACUCUAAAACUGCGUUAUUUCAUUCCGAAUUAAUUUUAAUGCUUUUUACAUAGAUAUGGAGAUAUUGUCCAGGAGUAUACUCACCUCUGCAUAAGUUUGCAUAUCACUCUUCGAUCAUGACUUCAGGGCUUGAGUGUCCAUGUGUUUUGUGUGAAUAACUAACAUCAGGUAGGCCAGAUCUGGCCCUAGUGUCAUUCUAACCAUCUGUUUCCCUUUCCGGCUCCUUCUGAGCUUGAUCUCUUGUCUUGAUGUAAAUAUGCACUUUAUAUUUCUCAUUUAGACAGAUUUCUCAUUUAAACCCCCAUCUCCUGAAAGGAAACUAGGAAAAGUAUUUUGAUGUGUCAAACUAGGCCGUGUGUCGGCACCAUGAUUUUUCACACUCUGUUGCUGUUCAGCUUUGUAUUUCUCAAAAUCCUGGGUCUCUCUCCAGAAUUUGGGACAAGGUGUGUUUGACUCUAUAAUCACAGAAUUUUGUCUCAUUACAUAAUUACACUUUCUACCACAAAAUAUAUAUAUAUUGCCAAUAUUCCCCAUGUUGUCCAUUGCCCAACUGUCAUUCAGUUUCACCAUUAGACAACUGAAUGGUGUUGGCAUGCUCAAAAGGGGAUUGUAAAUUACAAAAGCUGGUCAGCCACAAGAAAACAUAACUUUUCCUCACUUAACACAGAAUUUGGACUUGUGUAUAUUUCUGAAGCUUUUAAUAACAGUGUCAAAAAAGGACACUCAGUCUAAACUAUAACCAAAUUGACAUCCCUGUUCCUAGCGAUGCCUCAGUUGCAAUACAAUGUCAGCAUGAGGUAUACUGUAUAGCCCUGUAGAGUAAGCUGAGAUGGGGGUUUGUGCAUUAGUGUAGUACCUUACUGUACAGCUGUGCAUGUGCUAUUGUCUGGCUCUCUCGUGUCUGUUUGUCUGCAGUAGGUCAGCAUCAUGUCGUCUCCAUGUUGCUGGGUAAACAGAUCUGUUUUGUGAUGUGCAGAGGAAUGCAAACUUAUGGUUCACCUGCUGUAGGUGACAUCAUUGCUUUUCAGUAGGUGUGUGGCUAUUAGUGCUCAACUCCAAAACCUCACAAUGCCCCAACCCCCGCCCUCCUCGCUCACACCCACUCCCACCACCCUUAGCCAGACAUUCACGGAACCCAGGGUCCCACUCUUGAGCUUGUACCCCAUCGAAGCACCAGCAAUUUUAGACUGCAUUUGUCAUAUCACUGUUCAGUUCCUCUUUUUUGUUUUCCUGUUUUUUAUUUGUACUACGCUCUCUAACCUAGACCAAUUAUAACAAAAUGCCAUUCAUAUGUAUCCUGUUUACUCCCCUUUUCUCCUUUUUGCACUUUCACUGCCCCCCUUUUCCAACCACUCCCCCACACUUCUGCUCCGAUCCCGCCACACCACCAAACCCCCCACCUCCUCCUCCUCCUCCUCCUCCUCGAGUUUCUCCCGAGUGCCAAACAAAAACAGUACCAUUCCAAACUUUUUUGAGUUUUCUUGUAUGUUGGACAUCCAUUGGACGCACCCAUGAAGCCAGCAUGUUCCUCCAUAACAUGAUGUCAGUCAUGACGCCUCAACAUUACCCAAAAGAAACAGAUCAAAAACCCCCGAGCUAAAAGCAGACCUGGAUUAACCCGGUAAAGGCUGGCUACCUCUCAUAAACUGCUUUUCCUAAUUCUCUACCAUCUCUUCAACCUCCAGGACAUCAUUGAUUGUGUGCCAUAGUGUUGGGGGCACUUGUCACUCUCCUCACCCCCAAGUCUCUCCAUUUGAUUUCGAUGGGAAAAAUAAAAAAUCCAUUUCUAAUGACGAUUUUUUUCUUUAACAUUAAACCACACUCAGAAUGGUGUGAGGAGUGUAAUCGUCAGCUGAGCAGCCAUCCUCUGUCUUCUGAACUUUGAACUUUUCACCCCUCAUGAACUUUAUUGACCUUCUUCCUCCCCUUCUAUGUUCAUCAAACUGUUUGGACUUAAAUUUCCAUUCCAUCACCAAAACUAUUUGAGACUGUGCAAUUCUAGUUGAAAUUAUUGGAUUUUUUUGCUUGUUUCUCAUCAUUGGGGCAAUUCUCAGAGAUAAAGAAUGAAAAAUCAUCCACCAAAAAAAUACAGACAAACAAAAAAAACUAAACAACUGUUUCUCCACAAUUUCAUUUUUCUCUCAUUGUAAAUAUUUUUGUCAGAUUUUGUUGAGCUGUAAAGAGAGGCGUGUUCAACAGAAUGGGGCCGGCAGCAUAAAACCCACUUAGUGGAAAGAGGAAAAGAAAGACGCACCUCAUACAUCUACUCAUUGGUUCUGCUACAGUAGCUUGUUGUAUUGACAUUGAUGUGACCUGCUGUAUUUGUUGUUGUUUAUCGCCAUGCUAGCUCCACUUAGAUAAAAGGAUGUAAAAACGCAAAAGAGAAUUAAGUUCUGGAAAUCCUCCUCAUGAUAGAAUUGUUUACAUUUGCUAGCGUAGCUGUAUUCGUUGGUGGUUUCGUUUUGCUUAGUGUGAGUCGUAGUUAUUGUAAUGCUUGGUAGUGGAAGAACAUAUCAAUGUGGAGAACUUGCUAGUCUCAGCACCUUACACUAGAUGUGGGACACACAAGACUAGGGAAAACCGUGUCGCUCCCAAACCACAAAAAGGAAGUUGAGCCCUCUUUAGUGCAAAAGAGUCACAUGAUAAAAGUGAUAUAGUUUAUAACUACGAUUAUGUUAAUUAGGCAUAUUGUAGGUGGGCGUUGCUGAAUGUAAAUGCCAACAUGACAAAGGUGCCCGUAGUGCCAACUGAGACAUAUCUCGGUCAGUGAGUUUAGUCGAUCGAAGAAGACUGAAAGUAUUAAUUUGACACAGCUAGACUGGACUGACCAUAUCAUUGCUUAGCUUUGUUCUCCACUCACAAUGUUUUAUGCUGCCAGCCUCAUUUUUUGAUAACACUUCAUGAGCUAUUUAUUUUCAACCUAUUAUAUACUAUUAAUAAAUUACAACACAACAAGAAAAAGGGAAUGACUGGAAAGGUGAAUUAUUGUUUUGUUUUUUAGUAUUUUAGUGGUUGCUUUUAACACCAUUCAUUAACUGACUUAAAGAGUAUUGAAUAUUUAAUGUAAUUGUAGCAUUGUGUUUGUAAAAAAAAAAGUUUAAAAAAGUAGUGAGUUGUGUUUAUUGACUUGUGGAUUACCAGUGAAGUCAGCAAUCUAGUGCUAAUAUAUAUUUAAUCUUUUUUUAAGGAUUAUUCUUUUCCGACAGCAACAACAGUCAUUAUAAAUGUUCAUUUUAGCAUCACCUGUCUUCUGUUGUCUUAUUCUUCACCUCCCACUACACUCAGUCUCAUCCAAGUAACACAUUGCAAGUUUGUGCCUGAAACCAUGUGCUUGGUCUGGGGGCGGGGCCAUAUGGUAUGAGUGGCGUGUGUGUGUGUGUGCGUGCGUGUGUGUAUGAGGGAGAGAGUGUGUGAAUGGAAAGGCUGCUGUCUGAGCCUUGGUGGGUGGGUGUUCUGUCCAAUGUCCACCAAAGCUAAAACCUGGAGGGCUUCCAUUCACCAAUGGAAUCCCCUGACGUUAUAGCUGGAACUUCAUCAUGUGACCUGAGUCGACUAUCGUUCAUAACCCUCCCACCAAACCACUCUCCACCACUACCCUAUCCCUGAGUCAUCCCUUACCACACGCCAGCACCAUGUGAUGUUCUCCAUCGAUAACAUACUACUCGACCAGAUCCACAUUAACAUGUCUCCUCCAUGUUUCCAAAAGGAGUGCGUUGCCAGUCAACCUGCUUCACAUGAUACUCAACCAUCCUCUCUAGCUGCCGGGGCCAGGCCCAUCAGAAAACGAUUCUUCUAAAAACAAGAGAAUAGACAGAAAGAGAAAUAGUGAUUCUCAGGGUAUCUUCUUGAUCUACCUUUAUAUCCUGCGUUCUGCAGUUGUCCCACUUUAUUCUGCCCUAGUGAUUUCUAUGGAGCCCAAAGACGACGAUGAUUUCCAAUGCUCAUGUAAUGGUUGCUAAGCAAUUAUUCUGAGGGAUGACAUGCACACACUUAAAGGAGUGUGCAAAUGCUGUAUUGUUUACAACCUAAAUGAGACCAACGCUGUUGAAAAAGAAUGUGUAGGACAAGACAAAUUAUUACGUAUUGCUAAAUGAUGACAUUUCAACAACAAUCUUUGUGACAUGAGUUAAUGUAAUUACGAGUCGUUGCAUGUUACUAUUUUUUGCAAUGAAAAUAUCUUUUUUGAACUGUUAGAAUGGAUGGUACAUUGUCAAAUUAGUGCAACAUUUAGACGCUAAUAAUAAAACAAACGUUGGUGUCAGUGUUAAUGUCACCAUCAGGAGAGGUUUUGGACCAAUGAAUGCAAAAUGUUGUAACGGUUUUGUUCAUUUGUACAUGGUAAUAAUGGGUCAAAUAAACCAUUGAAGCUAAUUGUCAGGUAGACAUCAUUAGUCUUACUAAUUCAUUAAUUAAGGCCCACACAUUGGUUUACCACGUUAAUACUCAAAGAGGUGCUUGAAAAACAGUUGAUAUUGGACAGAAUACAGUUAUUACUAUAACCAAACCCCAAAAGAGGUAAGUUAAACACCCCUUGUCCUGUAACACAACGUUGCACAUGAUAUUGUGGCGUUUCACAAACACACAUGUUUACCCGAGGCAGAAAGAAUAUGUCAAGCGGGUUUAGGUAUAUAAGGAGGACAUGAAUGACAAUGUUGGACAUCACCAUGUUUUUGCUGAACAAGCAUCAGGAAAUCAGGAGUGUUGCAGCAUAGCAAUCAGAGGUUAGACGAUCUGAAAGGUUGGGACUCGUCUCACCUCAUCCAGUACACCCAAUACAAUAGAAAUGACACAAUCAAGAUGGAGGCUAUGUUGCUCUUUGACAUUUUCAUCCUCCCACCAUCACUGUGCACCAACCAGCAAACACCACCCCCCGCAUUCACCAUGUCUCCACAGCCAACCUAUCAGGACCUGUGGAUUUAGGCAGAUCCAAGCAACUUCUGGCCCAUGGGCUUAGACCUCUCCAUGCAUUGGCUAUUGGUUUAUUGACCUGCAGCACAGCAGAGUCCCCAGGUUAAUCAACAUUCACAGCAUGGUCUGAAAACCAAACCUGUCUCACAAACCUUCCAUACAGUAAAGAAGUACCUCCAAGGUUCAGAAUGAAGCAGAGUUUAUGGUUUACUGCACACACCUCCCAAGUCAUUAAAUCAAGGCAAUUUGUAACGCCGCUAAAAUAACGUUAUGGUACAAUAUGAAGCCAACAAUUGUAAUGAGCCCCUGAGCUACAUAAUAUAACUUUGAUGCGCCUCUUCUUAGGCACUACAGUAGAUGUGUUUGUUUUGUGUCCUUGAUAGCUUUGUAGUCAUUCCAGAACAUCAAUGAACUGAAAGGAGGUAAGUUGUGAGAUUAAUGGAGAAUAACUGAACCUAAAAGGGAUAGUUCACCCAAAUUACAACAUUACACAUUGGUUUCCUUACCCUGUAAGCAGUCUAUGGACAAAGCAUGACAGCAAUCCAUGCUUUACGUUUUAGCGUUUGUGGCACAAAUCCCAUUCCAGUCAUGGGACCAAUACUAGCAUUUUUCACGCAUCAUGUCCAAAUCAUCCAAGGUCUUUAAAAUUGAUUGUGAAGCUCAACAAAGUCACAUGUACACUACUGUUCAAAAGUUUGGGGUCACUUACAAAUGUCCUUGUUUUUGAAAGAAAAGCAAAUUUUUUCUGUCCAUUAAAACAUCAAAUUGAUCAGAAAUACAGUGUAGACAUUGUUAAUGUUGUAAAUGACUAUUGUAGCUGGAAACGGCAGAUUUUUUAUGGAAUAUCUACAUAGGUGUACAGAGGCCCAUUAUCAGCAACCAUCACUCCUGUGUUCCAAUGGCACGUUGUGUUAGCUAAUCCAAGUUUAUAAUUUUCAAAGGCUAAUUGAUCAUUAGAAAACACUUUUGCAAUUAUGUUAGCACAGCUGAAAACUGUUGUUCUGAUUAAAGAAACAAUAAAACUAGCCUUUUAUAGACUAGUUGAGUAUCUGGAGCAUCAGCAUUGGUGGGUUCGAUUACAGGCUCAAAAUUGCCAGAAUGGUAGUGUAUGUUUUGAAAAGGAUGCGCAAAAAAAUGACUUGAAUGGGAUUUGUGCUACAAAUUCAAAAAUGUUAGCAUGUCGAAACAGUGCUAGGGAAACCAAACCAAAGCAUUGAUUGCUGUCAUACCUUGUCCAUAGACUGCUUACAGGGUAAGGAAACCAAAAUUUCAUUUUUGGAAUUUGGGUGAACUAUCCCUUUAAAGGGUGCGUUUGCACUGUAUUAUUCACUCUACAGAAUACUACUCAAUCCCUGUAAGCCCCAUUUGUGGCUUGUGUUUUCCGUGAAACCUCUGGGCAUCUGGUGAAGCCGCUACAAUGACAGAUUAGGCCCCUCCAUAUCCCUCCCAUCUAUCUCUCCUGCCAGUUGGACUGGAUUGGUGGUAGGACAGCUUGUGCUUCAUCUUCGCCAACGCUGCCAAUCCUGCUAAUUGUGCAUCUCUCCUGCCUGAGGCGACAUUGAUUUUCCUUCUCCUCCUAGCUGCUCAUUUUCCAUUCCCUUGUUCAUCCCAAGAAUCCCUGUAAAUCCCAGACCGGCUGUUCCAUGGAAUUCCCUAGUCCUGUUCGGAUAGUUAGAUAGGUAGGAUAGACGUAAUGCCUUGUUGCUGUGCUUCUCCUCACUGCUUCUCAGCUGAUGCUAGUGUUGGCUAACAUCCUACUCAGUUCUAGAGGACAGAGAGUGAGAGACAAAGAGUUUGCCCUAAUACAGUAUGCUUGAGGCUGGAGCGACUAGAUUUUGCACCUAGUUCUUCUACUUGCUCCCUCAACUAAGAACAAGGACAUCAAAGACAACUCCCAUUGAUAAUGUCAUAAUAACAGCCCAGUCAGGACGUGACCCUAUGGGGUUCACAGGAUAAAAUAUAGAUGAUGGAAUAAAUGUCCACAUUAUCCCCUCAUAGAUAAGAUGACAGCAGUUUAUCAUGUGCCAUAGAUACAAAGGCAGAGUCCUCCAAGGCAAUUUCAUCAAGGGGGGGGGGGUAUGCUACAUUACACAUAUAGUAAUUGAUGUGUACAAAAAUGUGUUGCUAAUAAUUAUUUUUUACCUGCGUUUUGCACAAUCAGACUGUAAACCGGACCUGCUUUGCCUGUGGCUACAGUACAGUAGCAUUAGUCCCAUCACCAGACCUACUGUAUGUAGCUGUUCAGAUUUCUGUCUGCAACAGCACACCCAUGUCCACCCACACCCUAUUGCUCUGUUACCUAGGUCGCUGGUAAGGGGGCUAUGCAUUUGCCAGAAUAAACAGCAGAUGUUUUGAAUCUGAAAAAUUCACAAGCACUUAAUCCUUGGCAAAUCACAGUGCUAUACUGCCUAAUUGAAUUCCAUGGAAGCUCAUUUAUAUUCUCUUGUGCUUGGCUAUUCAAGGCACAGGUUGAUACAGAGGAUAAGAAUAAUAAUGUGUCAUAACAGCCAAUGUUUGAGAUUUGUUCCCUUAUGAGAUGUUUUGACCAAGAGUUAAGAGAAAGUUCUGACCAAGAAUUAAAGAUACAAUUUUGACUAAGAAUUAACAUGGCUACAGAGACAUUUAAUGACAAUUUCACCCUACCUCUGCUUGAAUCAACAGAUACAUUUAUUUUUAAUGCAAUAUUUUGUAUAAAAAUUAGGGAAGACAAAUGUUUAAUUAUAGACUACAUCAGAUUUUAAAGUAUUGGCUGAUAAAGGAGAUUAUUUGUAAUUUAAUUGAAAUUGGAAUGUAUAUUUUUGACAAACAGAAUGCUAUUUGUAUUUCGACUGCCUGUGGAAGACCAAGUUUGUGUUCUAAAAGUUAUACCGAAAUUUUCGCAUUUUUACAAGGACUCAGGUCAAUGUUUGGGUUAUUUCUUGAAUGUUUUCAUCUACUUAUUGCAUGUUUGUCUAGGAAACUAAUACUUUGUCUUUGAUUGAGGAAGAUACAAAUUGUAGACUGUCAUAAGACUGAAAUCUUGAAACUAAAUCCACACUUGUUUUUCAGUAUUAAAUUGUUGCUGUCUACCAUUUGCAUGUACCUUCUAUGCAUUUAACAAGUAUCCAUCAUUAAGAAAGUGAAAUCAAAUUCCUGGACCUGGAAAUGAACUUAAAACCACACAGCUACAACAAACCCCAAGGUUGAAGAAAACCUCAACGGACCUCUCUCACUUAAACUUGCCAUCUGCACUGGUACAAGAGCUGUCCAUAUUUGACUAGCAACAAUGCAAAAAUGAUUCCCACAUCCUAAGCAACUGAAGUGGAAACUGCCUAUUGUCCUUUGGCAACACUUUACAUUACAUAGGCAUUGAACUUACUAGCCUGUUAGUGUAAUAGGCUGUUCCACAGGUGGUAUGAGGGCGGGGCCUAUGCAAUGACAGGUGUAGCCAAUGACCUUAUAAUUAUGGCACUUUACUUCACGGCCAGUUUAUAGAUUAUAUUUCAGAACCUUUAUUCCACAGACCAAAAUCUGUAUUUAUUCCAUCUGGUUUAUCAUUAUUUUUAAAUCAAAUUGAUUUAAUAAUUUAUGCCAGUCAGAUAAGCAAAAUACUGAACAAUGAUUGUAUGUUUUUGUAUGUUUAUUUUUGUUGUUGUUGCUGUUGUUGUGAUAUUUCUAACCAACAUUACAGAUUAUGUUUAAAAUUAGAAACACAUUACAUUCUUAACUAUUCCAAAAAGUACUUUAAAUGUAAUUAAUGUUUGAUUAUUAUGUGUAUAAAUACAAGUUAGAAUAAAUACGUUUAAAUUGCGAUGCAAAAGCUGUGAUUUUAAAACACUGUAGCGUGUACAGUGAUUCCUUUAUCAAUUUUAUGGUACAUGAUAUGUUCUGCAAUCUUGCAGUUGUUGUUUUUCAGUUCUUGAGCAUAUGCUUUAAUAAAUACAUUUUCUACUGUAUACAAGGGAAGUCUAAGCAGUGCCUGCUGUAUUAUUCCAAUAUCCUAUAUGUGAACUGUCUCUGUGUGUUUAGUAUCAACAUGAUCCUACAGGGAAAUGAAGUGGGUGACAGUACAGC
rnacentral:lncRNA from 1 species